CCGGCGCACGGGUGAGUAACACGUAUCCAACCUGCCGUCUACUCUUGGCCAGCCUUCUGAAAGGAAGAUUAAUCCAGGAUGGCAUCAUGAGUUCACAUGUCCGCAUGAUUAAAGGUAUUUUCCGGUAGACGAUGGGGAUGCGUUCCAUUAGAUAGUAGGCGGGGUAACGGCCCACCAAACCGACGAUGGAUAGGGGUUCUGAGAGGAAGGUCCCCCACAUUGGUACUGAGACACGGACCAA
rnacentral:rRNA from 1 species